UACGUAGGGGGCAAGCGUUGUUCGGAAUUACUGGGCGUAAAGGGCGCGUAGGCGGCACGGCAAGUCAGGAGUGAAAGCCCGGGGCUCAACCCCGGAACUGCUUUUGAAACUGCCGAGCUCGAGUGCGGAAGAGGCAACUGGAAUUCCCAGUGUAGCGGUGAAAUGCGUAGAUAUUGGGAAGAACACCGGAGGCGAAGGCGGGUUGCUGGGCCGACACUGACGCUGAGGCGCGAAAGCCAGGGGAGCAAACGGG
rnacentral:rRNA from 1 species